UUUUACCAUGGCUGCCCUGAAUGUUUCGAAAGAGGCACUUUGAAUUCCUUAUCUGGCGUUAGUAUGAGGACCUUGUUUGAAAGAAUAUAUGAAUCAACUGCCAGAUUAAGGAAUCAAGGCUAUAGAGUCAUCAAAGAAUGGAACACGUCUUUAAAAGAAGAUCAAAUGGUGACUUAGAAUUGUAUGAAUUUCUUCUAGGUCAUGAACUACAAGACCGACUUGAACCAAAGGAUGCUUUCUAUGGUGGUAGGACAAAUGCAGUGAAAUUGUUCCUUGAAGGGACAACUAAAUAUGUUGACUUCACUGUAUCCGUGGCUCUGCCGUUGCUGUGCUGAAAGCUUACAGCGAAGCUCUUGUCAUCACAGCGACGAAGAAAGAUCUAUAAUAAGAACAUGGGUAACGGAGGAAGUGAAACUAGCCUUUGAGAAAGGCUAUUUAAUCUCAAAAGAGAAAUCCGAACGUCUUCCAGUCCUACAUACAGAAAAGCGGUGGAUAUCCUUCCGAUUGCACAACUGCUGAAGAAAGGACUUCCUAUAUUCAGCAGUACUUCGAUAAUGAAGGUGUUCUACUGAAUCCUGCUGAAAUAAAAUAAAAACAAAAAAAAUCCAGGGAGACGGCAAGUUGCCAAACUUUCACUGAAAAGCCUUUGGGAGGUGGGAAUGAACAUCAAUAAAUGCCACCUAUCUUAUGUCGAUAGCUUACCUGCAUUUAAUAAGAUGUUAGUUGAUCUUACAAAAAAUGUUAAGGACGUCUACUUGCCAACACCAGAAGUAGCGGCUAUUGUGUGGGACGACAAAAAAAAAAAAAAAAAAACAUUCCUCAAGACACUGGCACCAAUAUUUUCUUGGCUUUCACUGCAGCUUGGGCUCGGCUGAAGCUCUAUUCAGAGAUGGAGAAGCUGUUUUGUAACAUGAUACAGACAGUAUCAUCUACGCUAGUAUUGGUGACAAUGACCCUCCACUGGGAAAUUUUCUGGGAGAUUUCAUAGACGAGUUGGACGGUGAUGUAAUCACUACAUUAAUCUCUGGAGGGCCCAAGAAUUAUGCGUAUGAAACUUCGAGUGGCGAGACAUGCUGCAAAGUUCGGGGGUUUACCUUGAACUUUAAAAAUAGUUUAGCGUUGAAUUUUCAUUCGAUCAAGCAUAUUGUAUGCAGCUUGGACAGAAAGGACAGCAUACUGUUAGAUGAUGCCGCCAAGAUAACGAGAGACGCGAAAAGAAGGAAAGUCUUCUACGCGAAGCAGAAUAAUCUAUACAGGAUGGUGUACAACAAGAGGGUUGCAAAAAAAUCUUUCGACCAUACCCUAUGGAUU